rnacentral:tRNA from 1 species
GCCCUCGUAGCUCAGUGGAUAGAGCACCGGUUUCCUAAAUCGUAGGUCGCAAGUUCGAGUCUUGCCGGGGGCG